GACGUCAUCGCCGCGGGGCGGAGGCGACAGUGUCUGAGGAGAGGCUGAGCGUGUUGCGACGCCGGCAGCCCUUCUCUGAAGCAGCGCAAGUCACGGCCAGCGCCCGCUCCUCCCUGGUGGUCGGGCCACGUCGAGUCCUGCGUGGAGAUGGCAGACGAUCUUGGAGACGAGUGGUGGAAGACCCAGCCGGCAGGAGCAGCCAGCAGCCCAGAAGCAUCAGAUGGUGAAGGAGGAGGAGACACAGCAAUGAUGCAGCAGGAGAGAGCUCCAGUUCCUGCCCUGUCAAAGAAAACCGAACAGCCUAAAGAAUGUUUCUUGAUACAACCAAAGGAAACAAAUGAAGAUGCCACCAAGACCAGGAAGAGGAAAAAGAAGAAAAUUACUGAUGUUCUUGCAAAAUCAGAGCCAAAACCAGGGACACCUGAAGACCUACAGAAGCUGAUGAAAGACUAUUAUAGCAGCAACCGCUCAGUGAUUGAAUUAGAAGAACUAACCCUACCAGACUCCUGCUUCCUCAAGGCCAAUGAUUUGACUCACAGUCUUUCAUCAUAUCUAAAAGAAAUCUGCCCUAAAUGGGUGAAACUUCGGAAAAACCACAGUGAGAAGAAAUCGGUCCUGAUGCUGAUUAUCUGUGGCUCUGCCAUCCGAGCCCUGGAGCUCAUUAGGUCAAUGACCGCAUUCAGAGGAGACAGCAAAGUCAUGAAAUUAUUCGCAAAACACAUAAAGGUCCAGGAGCAGGUAAAAUUGCUGGAGAAGCGUGUGGUACACCUGGGUGUAGGAACUCCAGGGAGGAUUAAAGAACUCAUUAAACAAGGUGGCCUUAAUUUGAACCCCUUAAAGUUUCUGGUUUUUGACUGGAAUUGGAGAGAUCAGAAGUUGAGAAGGAUGAUGGACAUUCCCGAGAUAAGAAAGGAGGUUUUUGAAAUUCUGGAAAUGGGAGUCCUGAGCCUAUGCAAGUCAGAAUCUUUGAAGCUGGGCCUUUUCUAAGUCUGGGUCCUAAUGAAAAUUCCUGUGUUCAUGGUGGGAUUUGCAUGGCUCUGGCCCAUUGCAAGCAGUUGGAUCCAGUGAAGGAUCCCACAUUGCAUACAAGUUUCCUAAGAAGAAUAUAUAUAGUCUGUCACAGUUAAUCAUUAAAAUAGUUCUGGAGGAAACGUCUUUAUAUUUUAUAGAUGAUUAAACUGAAUCUCAGAAAGGACACACACUACUUUAAGUAGCAGAAGCAGAAGUCAAACCCAGAUCUCCUGUAUUCACUUCAGGACACCAUGGUUAUCUAUCUGGGGAGUCGGGCAUAUAUAACAAAUGAGAUAAUAAAGCAAACAGAUGCCACUACUGGUAUAUGAAGUUGCACAUUCAAAUAUUGUGAAAUGUUAAAGGAGUCCAGCAGCGUAGCACAUCACACUCCGGCAAAUCACAUGCUUCCACGCACCAGCGACUUGCUAUUUGUGCACCUCUGUGGGCUAGAAGCCACACACGGGGAUUCAAAGGAUAGGGGAACACGUUCCAUCCUGCAGGACUCUGGCUCAAGCUCAACAAGUUAAAGGAAAAAGAAAGAAAGCCACCACAGCAUGAGAAUUCAUUCAAGCUAUAGCUAAACUUAGCCCUUUGGGGGCUGACCCUCCCCCAAGUAAGAGAGAAUUCUGCCUUCCAACUGAAACAUCGGCUCAUCCUGCCUGAUGACCUUCAAACUGUGACAUCGGCUCUCCCUGGUUCUAUGGCAGCUUUUGGCCUUCAAACUCAAACUGGAGGGACAUCAGCUCUGCAGAUUUUGGACUUGCCAGCCUCCUCCGUAAUCACAUCUGUCUGAUACCAACAGCCAUACUCGUCACCACCUCCAAGCCAGAUUCAAAUGGCUUGCUGAAAAGUCCCCAUGGGUGUUCUGCUUUUUUUCCAGUUUUGCAAGG